rnacentral:rRNA from 1 species
UACGGAGGAGGCAAGCGUUAUCCGGAAUUAUUGGGCGUAAAGCGUCCGCAGGUGGCACCUCAAGUCUGCUGUCAAAGACCGGGGCUUAACCCCAGAAAGGCAGUGGAAACUGAAGUGCUAGAGUGCAGUAGGGGUAGAGGGAAUUCCCGGUGUAGCGGUGAAAUGCGUAGAGAUCGGGAAGAACAUCGGUGGCGAAAGCGCUCUGCUGGACUGCAACUGACGCUCAGGGACGAAAGCUAGGGGAGCGAAUGGG